rnacentral:rRNA from 1 species
CAGCCGCCGCGGUAAAACGAAGGGUGCAAGCGUUAAUCGGAAUUACUGGGCGUAAAGCGUGCGUAGGCGGUUUGUUAAGUCUGUUGUGAAAUCCCCGGGCUCAACCUGGGAAUGGCAAUGGAUACUGGCAAGCUAGAGUGUGUCAGAGGAUGGUGGAAUUCCCGGUGUAGCGGUGAAAUGCGUAGAGAUCGGGAGGAACAUCAGUGGCGAAGGCGGCCAUCUGGGACAACACUGACGCUGAGGCACGAAAGCGUGGGGAGCAAACAGGAUUAGAUACCCCAGUAGUCCCUGUCUCUUAUAC